rnacentral:rRNA from 1 species
GAUGAACGCUGGCGGCGUGCCUAAUACAUGCAAGUCGAGCGAACAGACGAGGAGCUUGCUCCUCUGACGUUAGCGGCGGACGGGGGAGUAACACGUGGAUAACCUACCUAUAAGACUGGGAUAACUUCGGGAAACCGGAGCUGAUACCGGAUAAUAUAUUGAACCGCAUGGUUCAAUAGUGAAAGACGGUUUUGCUGUCACAUAUAGAUGGAUCCGCGCCGCAUUAGCUAGUUGGUAAGGUAACGGCUUACCAAGGCGACGUAGCGUAGCCGCCCUGAGAGGGUGGUCGGCCACACUGGAACUGAGACACGGUCCAGGCUCCCUCGGGAGGCACCAUUAGGGAAUCUUCCGCAAUCGGCGAAAGACUGACGGAGCAACGCCGCGUGAGUGAUGAAGGUCUUCGGAUCGUAAAACGAUGUUAUUAGGGAAGAACAAAUGUGUAAGUAACUAUGCACGUCUUGACGGUACCUAAUCAGAAAGCCACGGCUAACUACGUG